UGCCCGGCAACUCCUAUCCCUAUACCUCCACGUGGUUCUGGCCGGGCUGCGAGCAACCUUAGGGAAGG
rnacentral:ribozyme from 1 species